GCCUAAAACUUAAUCACCCAGAAUGAGCCGGAUCCCAUAAGAUCUCAGGAGCCAAAGCGGGGUCAAGCCUGGAUAGUGCUUUGAAGGGUGACCACCAUGCACAAACAUGUGUUAUAGUCU
rnacentral:rRNA from 1 species